UAAUUAAGCGGAGGAAAAGAAACUAACUAGGAUUCCCCCAGUAACGGCGAGUGAAGCGGGACUAGCUCAGGAUGUAAAUCUGCACUUUAUGGUGCCGAAUUGUGGUCUGAAGACCUUGAUGUUAUCUGCCGGACCAAGUUCCUUGGAAAAGGACAGCUGAGAGGGUGAGACUCCCGUCCGUCUGGUAGAAUGAGUCAGGUGUCAACGAGUCGAGUUGUUUGGGAUUGCAGCUCUAAUUUGGUGGUAAAUUCCAUCUAAAGCUAAAUAUUGGUGGGAGACCGAUAGCGUACAAGUACCGUGAGGGAAAGAUGCAAAGAACUUUGAAAAGAGAGUUAAAGAGUACCUGAAAUUGCUGAAACGGAAGCGAAGGAAACCAGUGUUUGUAUGUUCAUAUUUCCCUUGCCACUUGUGGUGUGGGCGCUGUGGAUAUGCGUGGGUUUGAUUUGGUUGAUCCCUUUGGAAGAGCGCAGUCAGAGUUGAUGUCUGUUGCUAGCACUGGGUUUGACUCAAUCAGACGAAAUGGUUUUCUUUACCCCGUCUUGAAACACGGACCAAGGAGUCUAACAUAUGUGCGAGUACAGGGGUGUCAAACCCCGGUGCGUAAUGAAAGUGACAGUGGUUGGACAAUUUUUGCACAAUCCGCCGGCCUCAAUCCUUCGGGAGAACGGUCUGAGUGUGAGCACACAUGUUGGGACCCGAAAGAUGGUGAACUAUGCCUGAAUAGGGUGAAGCCAGGGGAAACUCUGGUGGAGGCUCGUAGCGAUUCUGACGUGCAAAUCGAUCGUCAAAUUUGGGUAUAGGGGCGAAAGACUAAUCGAACCAUC
rnacentral:rRNA from 1 species